GCUGUGGCAUACCAAGAUAAAUAUUUCGGGAAUACAGCGAACAUGCGAAAUCACAUUUCACAUUUCACGAGGAAAAACGGCCUGUUCCUGUUGCUGCCGAACAGAGAACCCUCGAGCAAGCGUCAAAGCUUCCACAUAGUUCGGAAAGGGCGAAGCGAAUCACCAGGUCUAGCAAGUUUUAUCGCAAAAGUUUAAAGCCUCUACGCCGUUGUUGAAAACCCGGGCUUUCGCUUAAUGUUGCAAACACUGGAGCCGAGGUACAACAUACCGUUUCGUCGUCACUUUAGUGAAACAGCAAUACCAAUGCUCUACAACGACACCAAAACUCAAGUCUUGGAAUCAUUGAAGAAAGCAAGAGGGUGGAAAUAACCUGUGAUGCGUGGACGUCCAUUGCAACAGAAUCCUAUAUCACUAUUACCGCGCACUACAUCACCGGUGAAUGGCAGCUCGUGUCUCGCGUACUCCAGGCUAGAGCAAUGUACAGUGUGAGAGCCAUACAGGUGCGAACGUGGCUGAAAUGUUGCAGAAGAAUGGCAGCUCAUGACAAAAGAUUUCGUUUGGGUGACUCACAACGCCUCUAACAUGUCUGUUAAACUCCUACACAUGUGAUGUUAUGCCCACACACUGAAUUUGGACUCUCAGCGAGCGUUAAAACAAAAAUCAUGAUGUAUAGAAAAAAAUCGAGAUGCAUCGAGAAUCGAAUUAUAAUCGCAUUGUGCCGUCCUGAAUCGAAAUCGAAUCGAAUCUUGAGGUGCCUAGAGAUUCCCACCCCUGUUAAAAAUUGACAUUGGAUACAGAAUUUCCCAAAGAGAUUAAUUCACUGCUGUUUAUUUGUCAUUUUUUUUUGUUUUCAAAAUAUUCUUGGACAAUGAGUACAUUUCUAUAUCAUAUCAGUGAUAAGUCACCGGUGGAUGAAGAACGAUGUAUAAGAUAAACAGCUUGUACAGUAUGGGUAUUCAGCUCUGAGAGCUCCUUAUACUGCUGAAGCAUUUCAUCUUGAGCGCUGCUUCAGAGUUUUCUGCUUGCAGAUGUAAAUAGCAGCAUUGCUGGACAAAGGAAUCUGAAUGACUGGCUUCAGAAAUGCUUUCUGGGUUAAUAUUGCCCUUCUCUUUUAUCAUUAAACAUCAUUAAACAUC